GGACAAAAUAAUGUGCGUAAAAACUUCGCAUAAUUUCUGUGGUCACUAGUCUGAACUUCAAACUGUUGGUUCCCGGUUUGACAAACUCACAGGUGUUCGUUGCGGGGGUUAUGAAUGUUGGGGUGUAAGGGGCGGACCAUUAGAAAUCAUGUAUAUCGGGUAUACAUUUUUUGCGGCACGAAUUUUUUUUUCAGUCUCGUGUCUCUGCAGGAAUUUUUUUUAAUGCAUUUAACCUCUGCACGAAUUUUUUUUCAAGACUAUUUCUACUUCGCUGUUUGCUUGCACGAAUUUUUUGUCUCUGACGUAAUGGCUGCACGAAUUUUUUUCCCAGGCAUUUUCUUUUGCACGAAUUUUUUUUGGGGAAUUUUCACCCCCCCUCCCGGGAUUUCUAAUGGUCCGCCCCUAAGGGUGUUAUUAUAAAAGAUUACGACACCUGAUGCCAAGUUCAUUGAGAUUUUCAGGCUCAGGGUAACAGGGUUUUCAGAUAAAUUAAGGGUCAGUGUUUUCAGGGUCGAUGUUUUUAGGGUCGGUUUUUUUCAGGGUUUUUUUCUGGCUGGGCCGGGGUUUUCCGGCUUGGUGUUUUAUGGGUCGGCGUUUUCAGGCUCGGUCGUUUUCACUCCCAGGCUGAG